rnacentral:lncRNA from 1 species
UCCGGGCAGUUUACCUUUAGUGGGACCCUGUCUGAAAAUAUAAGUCAAUAAUAAAUAAAUAAGGGCUGGGGCAGUUAUUCCGUGUGAAGGCCCUGGGUUCAAUCCCCAGUGCCGCACAAGUUAACAAGCAAACAACCUCCCCCAAGUAACCAAAACGGGGACCAGCUCCAGAGGAGAGGUUCUUGGAUCUCAGAGCAGGGGUCGGGUUGCUGGCUACCCACGUGGGAGCCACCCGUGACCCAGGGCUGCAGGUACUGGGAAAGGCCGCACUGACCGGGGAGCAAGCUGAGCGGGUCUGGCCAGCGGGCGGCGACGCUUGGGCUCCGCUGCCGCCCUGGGAAAGACUGGGCCCAGGACCCCGGUGAGCCAGGGCCGGGGCCUCCACCCAGACACCCGGGCCGCGCACGACGCUUUACAGCUAAGUUCCCCGACCUGCGAAGAACACAGAUCAGGAUCAGGAGCAUGCUGUGCCCACUGUGAAGCUUUUCCCGUGCUUGCAGAGUGACUCCAAGGCCCGCUUACGCCGUGGAGACCCAGCUCACCUGCCUUGCCCCGUGGCCGUGCUCCGGGCUCCAGCACCGCUGACCGUACCUGCUCUGUGGUCCUGGCGUUGUGGAAGCAGCUGUCACGGGCAUCCCCGAGCGGUGCCGAGCUGUGUGAGGAGGAAGGACGCGCCCAGGCCGAAUGCCAAGCGUGGAAGCUUAGACACGCGCGGACCACUCGCGCCCCUCCACAAGGAGGCCUCCCUGGGGCUGCAGACUGCUGUGCAAACCUGAGGCCUGGGGCUGGACUCCGCGGACCACGCCAAGGGUGGCAUCUGGCCUUCAUGGACAUCAGUAAUUUCCCCCAGUGUAGAAGCUCAGGGGGCCCGACUGUAACAGAGUACAAACUAAAUACAGCGCACUUCAC